rnacentral:misc_RNA from 1 species
CCCGCACACCCGAGACGGCCAGUGUACGCGGGUGUGCGUCUGCCCGUUGGGAUCAGCGUGUACGCCCACCCACCCCCAAAGCGGACACCAUCUCACGGCACAGUCGUGCCCCCCUUUCCCCUCCCCCUUUCUGUUUGUGUGUGUGCGCUCCGUUACAGGGAGGCGAGAGAGCGAACGGCAGGCUGCACGAGGAGAGGGGAUAGACCUAACUUCGAUCGGCAAAGUCGGCCUUUUUAGACUGUGCGUCAACGCACGCAGCGCCCAGCACCACCCGCCCUCCCCCCUCUCCCUCUCUGCAAGCUCAGCCUCCCAGCCCGACCCGCUUUCGGUGUUCUUGUGUUUCGGGGGCACCCGCGCUCGCGUGCCGCAGAGACGGCCGUGCCGGCUUCCAACAGCCAAAGAGGGGAACGACGUGACAGGGCGGGUGAAGAGAAAGAGGUGUGUGUGUGUGUGUGGAGCAGGAGGGAGGGGCCAAUGUCGUCACACGCAACAGAGAACCCCAACGUCGAGGAGAGGGAAGCGGCGGAGAGGUCGGUGACCACGACCGCCACCGCGACUGCCAGAGCAAACGCAAACAGUGAACGUGGUUUGAAGGGAUGGAAGAAUCGACUGAUGAACUGGCGGAGUGGCGGCGGCAGUAAGGAUAGCAACACCGACAGCAGAGAUGGUGGUCGUGCUUGCGAGGCGGUCGCCGCUGCUCCCGAUGUCACCGCAGAGAAGGGUGAGGCGCACCAUCAGCAGCGUGCAGAAGGCGGCAAGCCCUCUGCGGCGUCUCCUGCCGCGAACGACGCAUCAACAGCAGCAAAUCCCAACUCUGCCGUGGCGCAAGCUUCGCUGACUCGCCCGAUGAACAUCUGGCUGCGCCGUGCGCUGGAAAGGCAGGCAGAGUCCGCUAUUGCGGAGGCUAUACGUGAUGGCAAGCCGAUUCCAGAGGCGGCGGUGGCGACCGUAGCCAGUAUAGCACUGGGAGCCGCGGCUGCCACACCAACGCAGGCGACCGCCGUUGAACCAAAGAACAAUGACGCCUCAACUUCCGCAAAGACGCCUGCCGCACCGCCCGCCGCCCCCAAAACGAGCUUCGCGGAGCUUAUGCGGCAACACCGUGAAGGGCUCGUGCCGCCGAGCGCGCAGCCGCCGGUGAAGGCCACGACGGUGGUCAAAAGACCGAAGGGGACGAAAUCACCCACCCCGGUAGGGACGCCAGCGGCGGAGGAAGCGUUGCCUACGCCGGCACCCAACAAGAAGUGCGCAGCGAAAAGUGCCAGCCAGGCGCGCACAGCGCCUGAGGCUGCGCCGGCAACUUUAUCGCCGUCAGAGUUCGAGAAGGCAACGAGGGAGGAGGGCGGGCCGACACAGACCACCCCCACGACGGAAGUGAACUCCAGUGCAACGGCUUCCGCGGCUGCGGCGGUGCAUCAGGCCGCGGUCCGCAAGCGCAGCAAGGCAACCAACAGCGUAUCCGCGAAGCGCGCACAUGACACAAGCGCCGCCACAUCCGCAGCGACGACACCGACACAAGUAACGACGGUCAAGGGGAAGACCUCUCUGGAGGAACUCCGCGCCCGGCGCAACCGCACCACCGCCGGCGGCAGCGCGAACCAUCAUAGCACGCCCCACCCUGGGGAAGGAGGCGCUGGCGUGUCGAGCAGCAGCAGCGCCGGCAACGCUGUAGGAGGACAUGCACAGCAGGACGAGUACAACGACAGCGCCCUUGACGCCGUCAGCCGGCUUCUUCUUCGCUACUGCUUAGGCGACCGCGCUACGGAGAUGGCGCCAUCGACAGUAGCAGCGGCGAAUGGCGUGGACGUGGCGUCAUCGUCGACAGAGCCGGUGGCUGCCCCAACGGCAGAAUCGCCGCCGGCGCCUACGCGGACGACGACCGAGCUGGAGUUCUUCAAUGAGCUGAUGGAGCUUUGCGCGAACGACAGUCUCACGCCGGCGUCGCUGGAGUUGCUGCGUGAACUCUUCCAGCACGUUCGCGUGCUGCCCCGUCCCGCCAGUUCCUCGAAUGCGGGCAAAAACUGUGAGAACGCAGACACCGGCGCACCUGCUGUGCAGGACGGCAUGGCGAAGAUGGUGGAGUUGGACGCCGAGGCCUACCGCGAAGCCGCUCGCCGGCGCGAGUACGUUCAGCAAGUCAUCAUGGUGCUGCUGAACCGUCUCAAGCACAUGAAGACACAGGAGCAGCGGCAGAGGCAGAAGUGUUGUGGCGGCACAGCGGCAGAAACAUCAACGUCCGCGGUAGCGGCUCCGCCACAGCCUGUCACUGGCUACGGCGCGCCGUUCAUCAAAGUCGGCGGCGUAUCGCUCGCGCCUCCGCCGAUGUCCCCCCCAGCACAGCAGCAGCAGCAGUCGGGAAUGAUGUACCCAGAAGGCCAAAGCACGGCGUCUGCUGCGCCGUGGCCGAGCAUGGCUGAGAUGGCCGGCGCGUACCCAGACGAGGCGACCGCUGCCGCCUUCACGUCGGAUAUGAUGGCCUACGGCUACCCGAACCCGUACGCCCACCUCACUGUCUUCUCCCAACAUCAGCCAGUGGCCCCACCGGUGGGCUGGCCGUCUCCGUUCCACUCGCCCACAGCCGGGGACCGCCGCGGCCGUUGUGGCCACCACGGCAGCAAGAGCCCUAACAGCAACAGUAACGUUGCCGCACGCCUCGUGGCGUCGCCGUUCCCCGGGGCCUUCCCAAUCAUCCCCCCGCCAGCCACCACGGACACCUCCGCCGACGCAGAGGACCGUGAGAUGCAGGAACUGUUCCGCAUGAUACGGGCGCAGCUCACCCAGCCUGUGAACACACAGUCGUCCAGUGUGACCGCCAUCAGCUCGCAAGUGGAGUCAAGCGUAAACUUGUCGGGCACAGCGCCCGUUGAAGUGUCUCAGGAAGAGAGGACAGUGCUGCGUCACGUUCAGAUGGACUUCAAGAAGCAUAUGGAGGAGCACCAGCAGCAGCAGCAGCAAGCGGCAGCCAAGGGCUCAUCAGUGCCGCAACCGCCGCCGCAGACCGCAUCGACGCCACUGACGGCAAGCCUGACCGCCCCACCAGGAACUGGUGCUGCACCACCGCGGCGCAUGCACGCCACGCCUGGAGCCACUGCUGGCACCUCAGACUCUGCUGCAGGCACAGAAACGGUAGCCGCAGCGGCAGCUCAAGUUGAGAGUAGCAAGAGCCAAGGCGAUCACACCCUCACGGCGAACCAGGCAAACUGCCUAGAGGAAACAGGAGAGGCCGCAGGAGAGUCUCCCUCGGCGCGCAGCACCACCGCCCCCGCGCAGGAGGAGGAGGGUAUCGUGACCGGCAAAACGACACCAGCUAAGUCACGCGGAACAACCCUAAGUCUCAACGCCAAGCCCUUUGUGCCAGGCGGCCCUCGCGGAGGCAACAGCAGUACCACCUGCGCCAUUAUCAAGCCCACCGCUACCGCUGGCUCGACGCCUACGAAAACGACCUUCAACUACCACGCAAAGCCGUUUCUGCCCUCCGGCAGCGCUAGCUCACUUAUGCCGCCCCCCCCUCGAAAGUCCGCGAAGAUGAACGUAGCAGCACCGGCGUUCGUUUCCAAGCAGCAGCAGCAGCAGCCACAAGCCACCGCCUCUCCCUCUGUCACGUCCUCUCCUCCCACGAGUGGGCCGCCGUUCAACGCCCCCACGACCGGCAUCCCGGCCAUGCCGCCACCACUGCCGAAAAGCGCGGCCGAUCCAUGGGCCUCUUACGAGAUGUUUGCCCGUUGGCGGGACAUGAUGGAGGCCUACUACCAGAAUGUGUUCGCCAUGCAGAACGCGGCUGCCACGACGACUGGGACCUCAUCACCAUCGGCUAUGAUAGCACCUUCACGCCCUGCGUAGAGGCGAGAGGAGGUGAAAACGGCACGGAAAAGGCGGUGCAAGGGAUGGUGGUGGUGAUGGUUGGUGGUAGCGGUGGCGGUCAGUGAUGGGGGAGGGGGGCGUGAAACUCGCAGAAGGCAAGUGAGAAGAGGACACGCCCCCCUCCCCAUCCCUCCCUCUUUAGCCCGACCUUCUUCCCUCUCCUGUGUGUGGCGUGCGUGUGUGUGUGUGUGUGCAUCAUCUUGUUCGCCCCCCCCCCAAUAGACUAACCCCCAUCGGCUCACGUGUGGUGUUGUUGGCUUCGGAAUGUUUGUGCGUGUGUGUGUGUGUGUGUGUGUGUUUUGGGGGUAUGAAGAGACACGCACGCACAAAAACACACGCACAGAGACAGAGAGAGCAUAGAUCAACGCGAGUGGCCAGAUGCGAGGCGACGCUGCCGCAGCGGGAGCGUGCAGACGGCGGAUGAGGCGACGCGGCAGCAGAACAACGAGCUGGAUUCGUCUUGUCUUUUUCCUCUGUUCGAUUCGUUGGUGUGGCCGUGUGUGUGUGUGUGUGUGUGCGUAUCGCACACUUUGUGGUCGCCGUUUUCCUUUCGUAUUUUUAGCGUUUUCCGUCUUCGUUUUUUUUUUUUGGCCGCCGCCUUUCUGUGUGCGUGUUGGUGCGUGGUUCACCGUCCACGCCAUGGUCAUCGUCAUGAUGACGCUUCCCCCCCCCACAAAAAAAAAACACGCGCACACCCCUCCUCUCCCCUCCCUUUCCCUCCCCCUUCCCGUGGACGUGCACACUGUACACGACUUUCUCGUUUCCUUUGUUUCACUGCAUUCAUUUUUCCGUGUGUCUGUGUUUGGUGUUUUGGUGGCGGUUAUAAUGGGUGCACACACGCGCGCGCACUCCCACUCCCUCCCGGAUCACCCUCGUCUCGUGUGGGUGUUGCCCAGCCCCCACCCCCUCUGUCCUCGGAGUUACUCCCCUCUGUAUGUGCUUCUCUCUUUUACUCGCGCAUGCUGUGCCUCUCCUCUCCACUCCCUCCCCCUCAGCACACCUUGGCGGAUGCGUGGCUAUACACUGAGAGGCGCGACGUUGGACAUGAAGAGAGCGAGCGAAAGAAUGCAGCUGCAGUACGUCUACGUCUGUGCGUGUGUGUGUGUGUGUGUGCGUGUGUGGCGGUGCUCGCCGUCUCUCUCCUGUUAACAUACAUAAUUC